CUUCAUACACCUCUGCAGCAGGCUGUAGAAUGUGUCAUCAUCCAGCGCAAAUAUGUGAACACACUAGAAAUGUCAAUUUAUCUGAACAUAUGUAGUUGUAUUGAUUUUUUGAUUCAGGGGUUCUAAUUUUCUAUAUCGUAUCUCAGAGCUGAAUUUGGUGAUUUAUAUCUGUACCUGGAACAUGGGGAGAAAUAAUUUGCCUUGAGGUUUUCUUCAAUCUCCAUCUCUGUGUUACGCUGCGUGGCUGAUGGUUUACUCAUUCAGUGACUUUUGCUUUAAGAGGUACGGAUUGCAUUCUUCUGGUUUUAUAUUCUUUUGUAUCACUAUUUUUAAAUCUAUCACUGUCAUCAUGAUUGUGGUUUGAAUCAGUAGGAUUUGUUAUAAAGCAAUAUUAUUGCAAAUCUAGAUAGGUAGGUAGUAUUGAUAUCUAUUCAAUCUAUCUCUAUAUCUUUUGAAUUUAUUUUUUACUGUCGCACACACUCAAUACUGUAGCCAUGGGUGGACUUUUUUUUUUUUUUUUUUUUUUUUGGGACUGGGCUAAUAUAUGUGUGUGUGUAUUUUUUUAUUUUUAUCUAUUUUUAACAUUUUUUCACAUGUCAAAAAAGUACAUGGGCUUGGGCUGCCUGUGCACCUCCCUAUCUACUCCCCUGCAUACGCUAGAUGCUUAAAAAAUUCACCUGCAUUUAUACUUUUAUGUACUUUAUGGGCAAACCUCCCUAUCUACUCCCCUGCAUACACUAGAUGAUUAAAUAGUCGACCUGCAUUUGUAAUUGUAUGUUCUUUGUGGGCUAGGUAAGCGUGCAUUUUUCUACUCCCCUCAGACAGUUCAUUCAUCAUAAACCACAUUUUGUUGAAUCUUAUAAUGUCUGUGACAUGAUGUGCCAUAUUCAGAAUUGUACAAGUUUCUUGCAUUUGAAGCUUCAUGGAAUUAUCUGUCACCGCAGUGUUGCUUUGCUUUGGUCUUUGUGUGUGCAUGCAUACCUUGAGAUGAGAUAUUUUUCCUUAGAUUUAAAUUUUUGUUCCGUUUUUGCACUUCUAUUUGCCUGGCUCUUUAAAUUGCUUGUCGACUCAUAUUGGGUGCCAAGGUAUUUUUUUAGUUGAUGCAUAAUUACUGGGUUCCCAUGAUUGGAAGAUCGUGAUUAUAGUAAGGAUACGAUCAUUUAAUAAGUUUGAAGGGCUGAUUUUCGACAUGUUCAUCAAUCCAUUGGCCUUGUGGGGUUAACCUGGUCAAGCGCUAGUUUAACUGUGGCAUUUUUCACUUUGUAAACUGAAUACCGUGUUGUACACUGUAAUAUUGUAAUGCUGCUUGAAUUGGUUUCACAUUUAUUCAAUUAUUCUGCUCUUUUAGAUAGAAAGAUAAUGUCAUUCGUGCUGUCCAUUGCUUUAAUUGGUUUAUGACGCUCAAGGUUCAGUUCUGUAGGUGCUAAUAAACUAGCGGGAAAUAUCGGCUAUAUUAGAUGUUCUGUAGUUUAUUUUAUUUUAUUUUAUUUUUUGUUCUUUAUUGCAAUUGUAAAGUUAUAUUUGACUGAUGUCUCCUGAACACUUGUGCUGAUGAAUGAUGACAGAACAGCAAAUUUGGUUAAACUUCAAAAAACGUAGUAGUACUUUUUUGUAAGCAAGUAAAGAUUUACUUUUCAAAAAGUAAGUUUUUGACUGAAUUUACUUUGACUUCGUCGGUUAAAGAAAUUAUUUAAAAUUGACUUUUAAGCUUGGACGUGUUUUGCUAAAGUCAAAAAGUUACCGUUAAUUACAUUUACUUUUUCUUAAUGCUCAGCCAAACAUUCUUGUGCUGCUAUUAUAUAGAUUAUUGUCCAAUUCUUCUAAUGUAUCUCGGAGGGCCUUCUGAAGGUCGAUAUUUUGCAUCGUGUAUGCACCGACAACCAUUUCCGUUGUCUAUCUAUGUCAAGAGUUACUAUCUGGUAAACGUCAUGAGUUACUAUAGGGUAGAUCAUACUUCAUAAUCUAUGUAUUGAUCCUGUGAUUGUCUUCAUGCAGGCACAAAAUCAUUCAAUCUCAAUGGAUUCAGCAGGCGCUUUGAAAAUUUCUGGACUUUUAGCAUCCUCGUGCAUUCAUGCAUCCCAGAAAUGGAAUUUGAUAAUAUUGCAUGCCUUUAUAUGAAACGUCCCUCCUUUUCUUCCCUGACGGUGACUCCAAAGUUUACAAGGACACCAUCUCCCUCUCUCACGAUGGCAGGAGGGGAAGGAGAUCAAAUUACAUAUUGUUGAUUGGAAAGAAGAAAGGGGAUGGGGGUGUUACUUUGCCAUAUUAAUACCUUGUUGUGGAAUGGAACUUCAAAUAAAAAGGCAUGAAUGAGAAAAAGGUCUACUAAUUUAAACUCUUGUUUGUUUGAUCAUGGUGCAGUUACCAUGGACGGCAAGUCAAUGAACUGAACGCCAUCAAUUCAUAUAAGAAAAAGAAUAAUGCUAGAUGUAUAUUUUGGUUGACAACUUCUUUGACAUCCUCCCAUGUUGAAGAAAUUGGACAGUGAUGUGAUGGUUGCGGUCAAAAUCAGUGGUGCAGAUCUAACCAUAUAGAGAAGAGUGUAAACCAGAGUGUAAUUCAUGAUGUAGAUGUAGCAUGGUUGAUAACAAAGUCAUUAAGAUCACAGUGGAAAGGAGGUGUAAAUCGUAUUUUUGCCGUGCAUGUGAGUUUCUACUUUUCGUUUCAUUUAUUA
rnacentral:lncRNA from 1 species